UUCAGACAUGAACAGGCAUGGACAGGCUUGAUCAGGUCUGAUCAGGUCUGAGCGUAUUUAACGGUUCAGACAUUAACAGACAAGAGCAGGCAUGAACAGGCUUGAUCAGGUCUGAUCAGGUCUGAGCGUAUUUAACGGUUCAGACAUGAACA